rnacentral:rRNA from 1 species
UUAAAAAGCUCGUAGUUGGAUCUAGGGACGCGCAUUUCAAGCGCCCGUGCCAUCGGGUCAAACCGGUGGCUGCGUUGGCGUUGCGGGCUCGGUCCGUCGGUGCCCACAAAAGCAUCGGCGUGUCAACCGGCCCGCCCGUCCCCUCCUUCUGGAUUCCCGUUCCUGCUAUUGAGUUAGUGGGGACGUCACAGGGGGUCCAUCGUCGGCCAUGCAAAUGGCGGGCGGUGGGUCCCUGGGGCCCAGAUCGUUUACCGUGAAAAAAUUAGAGUGUUCAAAGCAGGCAGAUCCAAUUUUCUGCCACCGAAUACAUUAGCAUGGGAUAAUGGAAUAGGACCCUGUCCUCCUAUUUCAGUUGGUUUUGGCAGCGCGAGGACUAGGGUAAUGAUUAAUAGGGAUAGUUGGGGGCAUUAAUAUUUAAUUGUCAGAGGUGAAAUUCUUGGAUUUAUGAAAGAUUAACUUCUGCGAAAGCAUCUGCCAAGGAUGUUUUCAUUAAUCAAGAACGAAAGUUAGGGGAUCGAAGACGAUCAGAUACCGUCGUAGUCUUAACCAUAAACGAUGCCGACCAGCGAUUAGGAGACGUUGAAUACAAAACACCACCAUCGGCGCGGUCGUCCCUGGCUCGUCGUCUCACGACGGCGGGCGGGGGCGGUUUAGCCCGAUGGCACCGGUGAAUGACUCCCCUAGCAGCUUGUGAGAAAUCAUAAGUCUUUGGGUUCCGGGGGGAGUAUGGUCGCAAGGCUGAAAC